rnacentral:misc_RNA from 1 species
GAUGAAGAACGUAGCGAAAUGCGAUAAGUAAUGUGAAUUGCAGAAUUCAGUGAAUCAUCGAAUCUUUGAACGCACAUUGCGCCCCCUGGUAUUCCGGGGGGCAUGCCUGUUCGAGCGUCAUUUCACCACUCAAGCCUCGCUUGGUAUUGGGCAACGCGGUCCGCCGCGUGCCUCAAAUCGACCGGCUGGGUCUUCUGUCCCCUAAGCGUUGUGGAAACUAUUCGCUAAAGGGUGUUCGGGAGGCUACGCCGUAAAACAACCCCACUUCUAAGGUUGACCUCGGAUCAGGUAGGGAUACCCGCUGAACUUAAGCAUAUCAAUAAGCGGAGGA